rnacentral:rRNA from 1 species
UUAGAGGAAGUAAAAGUCGUAACAAGGUUUCCGUAGGUGAACCUGCGGAAGGAUCAUUACUAGAAGGACAGCUUCGAGCAAGCUGAAACAAGGCGUGGGGCCGCCAGGUAACCAAUCCGGCUCCCCAGCGCCAAGCGGCAAUGUCCAAACCACACCCUCUGCGUACCCAACCCUGUUGCUUCCCCGGGUCCCAACCCGGGGGAGGCCCGAGAGCAAACGAAGCGGCCCAACCCACCCGCGGCCCCUCCGUCUGAAGGCCAGCGCGCCACGGAAGAAGGAACGAGCGAGGAAACGAAAAACUUUCAACAACGGAUCUCUUGGUUCCCGCAUCGAUGAAGAACGCAGCGAAAUGCGAUAAGUAAUGUGAAUUGCAGAAUUCAGUGAAUCAUCGAAUCUUUGAACGCACAUUGCGCCCCCUGGCAUUCCGGGGGGCAUGCCUGUUCGAGCGUCUCAGGGACGAACCCUCGCGCGUGUGAAAAACGCGCGGUCAUGGCUGCGGUGGCGUGCCCGAGGAGGCGGCCACCGCGCUGGAAUCCAUGGGCGGACGCCUGCCGCGUGGCCGAGCGUGAUAUGACGCAUUGGCGCUGGUGCGAGGCGAGGCUGCCAGCCCUGGCCCGUCUGUCGGGCGGGGGAGACAGCAAGACACGUGAACUCCUCGAAUCAGGUAGGGAUACCCGCUGAACUUAAGCAUAUC